rnacentral:rRNA from 1 species
UUUACCUACGGGACGCAGCAGUGAGGAAUAUUGGUCAAUGGGCGCGAGCCUGAACCAGCCAAGUAGCGUGAAGGAUGACUGCCCUACGGGUUGUAAACUUCUUUUAUAAAGGAAUAAAGUGAGGCACGUGUGCCUUUUUGUAUGUACUUUAUGAAUAAGGAUCGGCUAACUCCGUGCCAGCAGCCGCGGUAAUACGGAGGAUCCGAGCGUUAUCCGGAUUUAUUGGGUUUAAAGGGUGCGUAGGCGGGCUGUUAAGUCAGCGGUAAAAGCCCGGGGCUCACCCCCGGCGAGCCGUUGAAACUGGC